rnacentral:rRNA from 1 species
AGCGAACGCUGGCGGCAGGCCUAACACAUACAAGUCGAACGAACCCUUAGGGGUUCGUGGCGGACGGGUGAGUAACACGUGGGAACGUGCCUUUAGGUUCGGAACAACUCAGGGAAACUUGUCCUAAUACCCAAUGUGCCCUUCGGGGGAAAGAUUUGUCGCCUUGAGAGCCGCCCGCGUCUGAUUAGCUAGUUGGUGAGGUAAUGGCUAACCAAGGCUACGAUCAGUAGCUGGUCUGAGAGGAUGACCCGCCACAUUGGGACUGAGACACGGACCAAACUCCUACGGGAGGCAGCAGGGGGGAAUCUUGCGCAAUGGGCGAAAGCCUGACGCAGCCAUGCCGCGUGGAUGAUGAAGGUCUUAGGAUUGUAAAAUCCUUUCACCGGUGAAGAUAAUGACUGUAGCCGGGGAAGAAGCCCCGGCUAACUUCGUGCCAGCCGCCGCGGUAAAAC